rnacentral:lncRNA from 1 species
GGAAAUCGCUUUAAUGUAUUGGAUUCCUUUCUUUUUAAAAAAUUUUAUUUGUGUAUAUGUGUUAAUGUACUUGUUUCCUUUCAUUUUAAUUUUUUUUUUGAGACAGGGUUUCUCUGUAUAGCCCUGGCUGUCCUGGAACUCACUUUGUAGACCAGGCUGGCCUCGAACUCAGAAAUCCACCUGCCUCCCAAGUGCUGGGAUUAAAGACAUGUGCCACCAGGCCCGGCUUUCAUUUUAAUAUUUUAUUUGUAUGUGUGUGUAUGUGUGUAUACACAUGUGUGCAAGAGUGCACACACAAUACAGGUGCAAGUGGAGGCCAGAGGAGGUCACUGGGUCUCCCAGAGCUAAGGUUGGAGGGAGCUGGGAGCUGUCUGACAUGGGUGCUGGGAUCUAAACUCAGGUCCUCUGCAAGAGUAAGUACUCUUAGCUGCUGAGCCCUCUCUCCAGCCCCUAAUUUAAUAUCUUUUUGAUAUAUAACUAGGCUUGGGAUUGGUCGAUCAUAUGAAAGUUCUAUUAAUUUUUUGAGGAACUUAACAAUGGCUCUGUAAUUUUACACCCCUACCAACAGUGUGUAAAGGCCCCCUCUUCUUCAUUUUCCAGACAACACUUUUAGUGGGUUUUUUUUUCUUCUUGCUCCAGUCCCACUUGCUAUGGCCCAAAGAUUUAUUUAUUAUAUGUAAGUACACUGUAGCUGUUCAGACACACCAGAAGAAGGCAUCAGAUCUCAUUACAGAUAGUUGUGAGCCACCAUGUGGUUGCUGGGAUUUGAACUUAGGACCUUUGGAUGAGCAAUCAGUGCUCUCAACCACUGAGUCAACUCUCCAGCCCUAGUGUUUUUGUUAAUAGCCAUCCCAACUAGUGUGAAGUGAUUGUUUUAAAUUUUGUCAUGGAUUUAUUUGGACAGUCCCACUGUGGCGAUCUGGCUAGCCUUCAGGUUGUGGAUCUCGGCCUUUUGAGCAUUGGCAAUAGGGUGGAUAGGGUAGGCACUGGUCCUGACUAUUCUUUUGAAUUUCAUUUCCUGGUGAUUAGGGAAGCUGGGGACCUUUGCAAAGCUUUCUCGUCAUCUGUACAUCCAUCCUCCUUUGAGAGAUGUCUAUUUAGGCUUUGUCCGUUUUUCCAUUGACUUGGCUGUCCGCUGACUGUUGAAUUUCCUUUCCUUUCCUUUCCUUUCCUUUCCUUUCCUUUCCUUUCCUUUCCUUUCCUUUCCUUUCCUUUCCUUUCCUUUCCUUUCCUUUCCUUUUCUUUCCUUUCCUUUCCUUUUCUCUUCCUUCCUCCCUCCCUCCUUCCCUUCCCUUCCCUUCCUUCCUUCCUUCCUUCCUCUUUUCUUUUCUUUUCUUUUUUCUUUUCUUUUCUUUUCUUUUCUUUUCUUUUCUUUUCUUUUCUUUCUUUCUUUCUUUCUUUCUUUCUUUCUUUUUUUUUUUUCUUUUCUCGAGACAGAGUUUCUCUGUGUAGUCCUGGCUGUCCUGGAACUCAGUCUAUAGACCAGGUUGGCCUUGAACUCAAAAAUCCACCUGCCUCUGCCUCCCAAGUACUGGGAUUAAAGGUGUGUACCACCA